UACGAAGGGGGCUAGCGUUGCUCGGAUUGACUGGGCGUAAAGGGCGCGUAGGCGGAUAGUACAGUCAGGCGUGAAAUUCCUGGGCUCAACCUGGGGGGCUGCGUUUGAUACGUAUUGUCUGGAGUUCGGAAGAGGGUCGUGGAAUUCCCAGUGUAGAGGUGAAAUUCGUAGAUAUUGGGAAGAACACCGGGUGGCGAAGGCGGCGACCUGGUCCGAUACUGACGCUGAGGCGCGAAAGCGUGGGGGAGCAAACAGG
rnacentral:rRNA from 1 species